AAAUUGAAGAGUUUGAUCAUGGCUCAGAUUGAACGCUGGCGGCAGGCCUAACACAUGCAAGUCGAGCGGUAGCACAGAGAGCUUGCUCUCGGGUGACGAGCGGCGGACGGGUGAGUAAUGUCUGGGAAACUGCCUGAUGGAGGGGGAUAACUACUGGAAACGGUAGCUAAUACCGCAUAAUGUCGCAAGACCAAAGUGGGGGACCUUCGGGCCUCAUGCCAUCAGAUGUGCCCAGAUGGGAUUAGCUAGUAGGUGGGGUAACGGCUCACCUAGGCGACGAUCCCUAGCUGGUCUGAGAGGAUGACCAGCCACACUGGAACUGAGACACGGUCCAGACUCCUACGGGAGGCAGCAGUGGGGAAUAUUGCACAAUGGGCGCAAGCCUGAUGCAGCCAUGCCGCGUGUGUGAAGAAGGCCUUCGGGUUGUAAAGCACUUUCAGCGGGGAGGAAGGCGAUAAGGUUAAUAACCUUGUCGAUUGACGUUACCCGCAGAAGAAGCACCGGCUAACUCCGUGCCAGCAGCCGCGGUAAUACGGAGGGUGCAAGCGUUAAUCGGAAUUACUGGGCGUAAAGCGCACGCAGGCGGUCUGUCAAGUCGGAUGUGAAAUCCCCGGGCUUAACCUGGGAACUGCAUUCGAAACUGGCAGGCUAGAGUCUUGUAGAGGGGGGUAGAAUUCUAGGUGUAGCGGUGAAAUGCGUAGAGAUCUGGAGGAAUACCGGUGGCGAAGGCGGCCCCCUGGACAAAGACUGACGCUCAGGUGCGAAAGCGUGGGGAGCAAACAGGAUUAGAUACCCUGGUAGUCCACGCCGUAAACGAUGUCGAUUUGGAGGUUGUGCCCUUGAGGCGUGGCUUCCGGAGCUAACGCGUUAAAUCGACCGCCUGGGGAGUACGGCCGCAAGGUUAAAACUCAAAUGAAUUGACGGGGGCCCGCACAAGCGGUGGAGCAUGUGGUUUAAUUCGAUGCAACGCGAAGAACCUUACCUGGUCUUGACAUCCACAGAACUUUCCAGAGAUGGAUUGGUGCCUUCGGGAACUGUGAGACAGGUGCUGCAUGGCUGUCGUCAGCUCGUGUUGUGAAAUGUUGGGUUAAGUCCCGCAACGAGCGCAACCCUUAUCCUUUGUUGCCAGCGGUUCGGCCGGGAACUCAAAGGAGACUGCCAGUGAUAAACUGGAGGAAGGUGGGGAUGACGUCAAGUCAUCAUGGCCCUUACGACCAGGGCUACACACGUGCUACAAUGGCAUAUACAAAGAGAAGCGACCUCGCGAGAGCAAGCGGACCUCAUAAAGUAUGUCGUAGUCCGGAUUGGAGUCUGCAACUCGACUCCAUGAAGUCGGAAUCGCUAGUAAUCGUAGAUCAGAAUGCUACGGUGAAUACGUUCCCGGGCCUUGUACACACCGCCCGUCACACCAUGGGAGUGGGUUGCAAAAGAAGUAGGUAGCUUAACCUUCGGGAGGGCGCUUACCACUUUGUGAUUCAUGACUGGGGUGAAGUCGUAACAAGGUAACCGUAGGGGAACCUGCGGUUGGAUCACCUCCUUA
rnacentral:rRNA from 1 species